AGUGAACGCUGGCGGUAGGCCUAACACAUGCAAGUCGAACGGCAGCACAGUAAGAGCUUGCUCUUACGGGUGGCGCGUGGCGGACGGGUGAGGAAUACAUCGGAAUCUACUUUUUCGUGGGGGAUAACGUAGGGAAACUUACGCUAAUACCGCAUACGACCUACGGGUGAAAGCAGGGGAUCUUCGGACCUUGCGCGAUUGAAUGAGCCGAUGUCGGAUUAGCUAGUUGGCGGGGUAAAGGCCCACCAAGGCGACGAUCCGUAGCUGGUCUGAGAGGAUGAUCAGCAACACUGGAACUGAGACACGGUCCAGACUCCUACGGGAGGCAGCAGUGGGGAAUAUUGGACAAUGGGCGCAAGCCUGAUCCAGCCAUACCGCGUGGGUGAAGAAGGCCUUCGGGUUGUAAAGCCCUUUUGUUGGGAAAGAAAAGCAGCAGGUUAAUACCCCGCUGUUCUGACGGUACCCAAAGAAUAAGCACCGGCUAACUUCGUG
rnacentral:rRNA from 1 species